CGCUGCGAGGCGACAAUCAGGGUCCAGGUGAAUAGCCCCGAUUUGAACAUCGGGGCUUUUUGUUAUCUGAACUUUGGCACCGGCAUGGCCGAUGCAACUAUUACUGGGCUGCGAGCCCUUUUUUU
rfam:Oceanimonas sp. GK1, complete genome.